rnacentral:rRNA from 1 species
AGAGUUUGAUCCUGGGUCAGGACGAACGCUGGCGGCGUGCCUAAUACAUGCAAGUAGAACGCUGACUACUUUAGCUUGCUAGAGUAGAAGGAGUUGCGAACGGGUGAGUAACGCGUAGGUAACCUGCCUACUAGCGGGGGAUAACUAUUGGAAACGAUAGCUAAUACCGCAUAACAGUGUUUAACACAUGUUAGAUGCUUGAAAGAUGCAAAUGCAUCACUAGUAGAUGGACCUGCGUUGUAUUAGCUAGUUGGUGGGGUAACGGCCUACCAAGGCGACGAUACAUAGCCGACCUGAGAGGGUGAUCGGCCACACUGGGACUGAGACACGGCCCAGACUCCUACGGGAGGCAGCAGUAGGGAAUCUUCGGCAAUGGGGGCAACCCUGACCGAGCAACGCCGCGUGAGUGAAGAAGGUUUUCGGAUCGUAAAGCUCUGUUGUAAGAGAAGAACGUGUGUGAGAGUGGAAAGUUCACACAGUGACGGUAACUUACCAGAAAGGGACGGCUAACUACGUGCCAGCAGCCGCGGGUAAUACGUAGGUCCCGAGCGUUGUCCGGAUUUAUUGGGCGUAAAGCGAGCGCAGGCGGUUUAAUAAGUCUGAAGUAAAGGGCAGUGGCUUAACCAUUGUUCGCUUUGGAAACUGUUAAACUUGAGUGCAGAAGGGGAGAGUGGAAUUUCCAUGUGUAGCGGUGAAAUGCGUAGAUAUAUGGAGGGAACACCGGUGGCGAAAGCGGCUCUCUGGUCUGUAACUGACGCUGAGGCUCGAAAGCGUGGAGAGCAUACAGGAUUAGAUACUCU